UUUUUUUUUUUUUGGGUCCUGGAAUUUUUUAGAACCUUUUAUUGGUUAAUUUUAACCUUGGAACUGAAGAUGAGGGCUCAAAAGUAAUUGCUGGUUCAACAAUGGCUGCUUUAGGAAAUUGUAUUGAUAAGCAACAUCAGUUUGGCUGGUGCUGUUACUGAAACUGCAAGAAUUGAUGAAUUUCUUUGAUGGGUGAGGAUGCAUAUCCUCAUCAAUGCUAGGAAGUGGGCGCUUGAGCUUGUUUUCCAUGUUAGGUAUUGGAGUACUCAACUGAGGUAAUUUUUGAAUGAAGUAACUGCUACUACUGCUGCUAUUGGUAAUAGGGUUGCAGUUGUUGACGAAAGUUUGGUCAGGUAUUGCACCAUUGAGUACUAAUGAUGGGGUUGAAUCAUACCCAGUUGGAUUGAACUGGUUAUCUGAUAAGAAACUCCUCAGUAUAGAGUAGUCCGUGGCGUCCAGCAGGUUGGAGAAAGAAGAAGAUUUCUGGGGCAUGAGAGAUUUGUUGCUUAGUGGGUUCUUUAAGCUUGGUAAAAGGGUUUCUUGAACAAACUGUUCUUCUUCUUCUUCUUCUUGAUCAUGAUCACUAGCUGCUGCUGCUGCUGCUGAUGGAGUUGAAGCAUGGGUUUUCUUGUAGAUCCGGCAAAGAACCCAAUCAUCAAGCCUCAUUGCAGUGGAGGAUGAAUCUUUAGGCUUGAUUGGCUUGACGUUGUGGGCAGGGGCAUCAGCUAGGCGAUAUUCAUGCAUAAUCCAAUUAGUCUUGAUUCCCUUGGGAGGCCUUCCCCUGUAGAAGACAAGAGCCUUCUUAACACCAAUGUUCUCUUGCACUCCUACACCAGCACCUGCACGUAUUGCUGAUGAUGCCACUAUGACCUUGUCUGUGCCAGUUGCCUUCCAAUACCCUGAAGCUGCUGCUCUGUUAGGCCUAGCUCCAUUGGGAUACUUACGAUCUCUAGGACUGAAAAAGUACCAUUCUUUCUCUCCAAAGGCAGCCAUAGCUGGUAAGUCCCAUGGAUCAAACUUGUAGAUAUCAACAUCUGCAAUGAUGGAAACAGGGAAGGGUGUGGAUGCAAUCUUUUUCUUUAGGUAAUGGAGGAUGAGCUCCUCAUCUGUUGGGUGGAACCUAAAACCUGGCGGCAAGCUUGAUUGUGGGUUCUUCAUGCCCAUAUCUAAAUGACACUCUGAACCCACCUAAUGAAGAUUAGUGAAACGCUUAUUGAAACUGUUCAAUAGGCUCUUAAGAGCUUUAUGAGAUGAAAAGCAAGCGAGAGAGAGAGAGAAAGAG
rnacentral:misc_RNA from 1 species